GUAAUGGACUGGCCUGAGGUCUCACUACAAACAAGCGGCUGCUGGAAGAGAGUAGGUGAGUUGUGUUUAGUCUCUUUGCUAAAGAAAUGAGUCAAAGUUAAAAAGAUGUUUGGUGUCUAGUACUAUGUCUGUGACCCUAUAUGUCCUGUUGAUGAAGUUAGGUGCUGUUCUGAGCAUUAUUUGUGGCUAUAGAGUGGCGUUUUGGUUGAGGGCGUGGCUCUCUGUAUUGCUAUCCUGCGGUCGUUACUAAAGUUGGUAUAACUAGAGAAGCAAGCGGUCGACAACAUUCAUCUCUGGGGGGGGG